AACAACUGGCGCAUGCUUCAUGAAAUGUGGUUAUUCCGGUAAAUAUUUUGAAAAAAAAAAUAUUUUAAAAUUUUAAUUGAAAAAAGUGCUUAUUUUAAAAAAAAAUCCUUAGAAUCAUUAGUUUAGCAUACUCAUCUAAAUGUAUUAUUAUAUAAUAUGCAAUUUAGAGGUUUAUGGAAUGAACAACACAAUAUUCAUAAUUGCAUUCUAAAUUAUCUCGUUAUUUUCAUAUUCUAUAUUCAAA
rnacentral:lncRNA from 1 species